rnacentral:lncRNA from 1 species
AGGCCAGACUCAUCGCUUCCUCUUCUUACCGGACUUAGCCUGCGACUUGCCUGAACCCACUGGUUUCCCUUUUGUUGCUGGUUCUGGCGCCUUUGGUGUCUCUUCAGAUUCUGACUCAGCAUCGCUCUCCUCGCCCUUGGAGGCAGGUGUAGAGUUUGCUUUGCCUUUCGCUGCUUUGCCCUUUGCUGAUGAAGAUUUUGAAGGUCCUCCUGGCUUGGAUUUUGGAGUAGUUGUAGUCUUGGACGAACCUUUGGAUGUGCCAGAUUUCGAUAUCUCUUUCUUCGACUUGCUGGUUCCUGAUUUACCAACUGUUUUGGGGAUUUCCUCUUCCUCGCUCAACUCGUCAGAACUAUCCUCUUCUUCUUCUUCUCUACUAGCUUCUUUCGGAUCCUUUGGUUUGCUCUCUGUUUUCUCAUCCUUGGACUUCUUACCGGACUUGGAAGCAGGAGCAGCUUUAAGCUUGCUGGAACCAGCUCCACCACCCCUAAAUCAGAAACAAUAUUUGCUUAUGAGUAAAGAACUUUUUAGAGACUUCAACAUCUUUUUUGAACUAUUUGCUUUCAGUUUCAUUUACUUUUUCCCUGACGAUUCCAUCUUUGAUUGCUUGCCAGUCUUAGCUUUCUUUCUCUGGGGCCUGCAUGGAGAAUUACCAAGCUUGGUCAUCACAAGAAUACCAAACUCAUCUCAAAACAUCUAGAUUUUCUUUCUAGUGCCUCAUAAGAACUAGAGAAGUAACACUUACUCUCGGGAGGCUUCUUUCUCGUGAACCGUCUGAUCAGCAGCUUCUUCACCCUGCUGACAGGAAAUGUUCAAAGGGGAUAAUGGAAAAAAGAAGAAGUCAGAGAUGAAUGAAAUAUAAUGCCCCACCUCUGUUUCUGAUUCAUCCAGAAAAUGCCACUUCUGUGUCUUAAGAUUCAAGAUUUCUUGAUCUCCAUCAUCAUAGAUAACCUGAAAACAAAGAUAGCAACAACAUACAACAAAUAAAACACCAUAAAAUGCACUGAAUCUAAUACAAAACAUGUACAAUCAAUAGGCUAAUGGUUCACCACAAACAAAUUAAGACGAACAAAAGAGAUUUAUCGAGGAGAUUGAUAAAAUUGGGCCUACCAGGUGCUUCUUCUUAGCAGAAUCAUAUGAAUUGACCACACCUUUAUAAUACCUGCGACAGUAAUCCAAUAUUCAGUUACAAGACAACUAUUAAGUUGUUAGUGCAAAUUCAGCUAUCUACAAGAAAAUACAAAAUAGAGAAGCGGAUUGCAUUAUUGUAAAUCAAAUAUAAUUCCUAAAAUAAUACAAAGUGCUUACGCUUUAUCUAUAGGCCACCAGACUCUGACCCUCGACCCAACUAAAUCUUCACCGUGGCUUUGGAGAUCAGAUGCCUGCCAGGGAAUCAAUUCAGUAUGAAGAAGUCUACCAAAAAAAUGGAAAAGAAAAAUUUGCACAAAAAACCAGUACGAGUAAAGGAUUAAACAAGAGUCGCAUAAGCUCCACAGAAGGGAACGAACAGGUUUUAAAGAGAAAAAUAUCUCAACUUGAAGAAAAUAAGAAGCUGAAAUCAUGCACGCACAGUUACUACUGCAAAUGGCAUCUAGUAGAACAUGAUUUUUUUCACACGUUCCUUUAUGUGUAAUAAUUAUGAUAGGUGAAAUUACGAAAACAUACUUUCUCUUUGCUUAGACUUCGUUUUCUCUUUGUGUUUGUGUUAGGACUUCCUUCUAUUGGUUGCUUCACUUCUUUCUUUGACUUCGAGGCUGACUUUACAGAGGAAACAGCUGGCUGAAACACAAUUAAAGGAUAUCGGUAAAAGGACAGGAAGGCAGUAUCGAAUCAUACAGGUCAAGGAAGAACUUACUUUUUCGCUAUCACCUGAAGAAGUAUCUAAUGAGUCCUCAUCCAUGGCUUUCCCACGUCCUGGCUUUUUCUUUUCCUCUUUUGGCUUUGAGGAUUCUUGUACAUUUUCACUCUCAACUACCUUUUUCUCUGACUGCUUUGCAGCUUUUGUCUCAGAGGUGCCCGACGUUAAGACCCAUCGAUCCACAACCACCAACACCACCGCCAUUGUGCUUAGCUUUCCACCUUGAAUUACAUAAAGAGAAAGUCUUUCCUGAGGCCAGACUCAUCGCUUCCUCUUCUUACCGGACUUAGCCUGCGACUUGCCUGAACCCACUGGUUUCCCUUUUGUUGCUGGUUCUGGCGCCUUUGGUGUCUCUUCAGAUUCUGACUCAGCAUCGCUCUCCUCGCCCUUGGAGGCAGGUGUAGAGUUUGCUUUGCCUUUCGCUGCUUUGCCCUUUGCUGAUGAAGAUUUUGAAGGUCCUCCUGGCUUGGAUUUUGGAGUAGUUGUAGUCUUGGACGAACCUUUGGAUGUGCCAGAUUUCGAUAUCUCUUUCUUCGACUUGCUGGUUCCUGAUUUACCAACUGUUUUGGGGAUUUCCUCUUCCUCGCUCAACUCGUCAGAAC